CUCUGGCUCUGUGGUGGAUAGUGGAGUGUUUCCCAUGUGGUAUUGGUGUGCUGGAUAUCCCUUCACUGGUAGCCUGGUAACAUACACUCCCAGGUUUUUCUCUGCCUCUGUGGUGGAUAGUGGAGUGUUUCCCAUGUGGUAUUGGUGUGCUGGAUAUCCCUUCACUGGUAGCCUGGUAACAUACACUCCCAGGUCUUUCUCUGCCUCUGUGGUGGAUAGUGGAGUGUUUCCCAUGUGGUAUUGGUGUGCUGGAUAUCCCUUCACUGGUAGCCUGGUAACAUACACUCCUAGGUCUUUCUCUGCCUCUGUGGUGGAUAGUGGAGUGUUUCCCAUGUGGUAUUGGUGUGCUGGAUAUCCCUUCACUGAUAGCCUGGUAACAUACACUCCCAGGUCUUUCUCUGCCGCUGUGGUGGAUAGUGGAGUGUUUCCCAUGUGGUACUGGUGUGCUGGAUAUCCCUUCACUGGUAGCCUGGUAACAUACACUCCCAGGUCUUUCUCUGCCUCUGUGGUGGAUAGUGGAGUGUUUCCCAUGUGGUAUUGGUGUGCUGGAUAUCCUUUCACUGGUAGCCUGGUAACAUACACUCCCAGGUCUUUCUCUGCCUCUGUGGUGGAUAGUGGAGUGUUUCCCAUGGGGUAUUGGUGUGCUGGAUAUCCCUUCACUGGUAGCCUGGUAACAUACACUCCCAUGUCUUUCUCUGUGGUGGAUAGUGGAGUGUUUCCCAUGUGGUAUUGGUGUACUGGAUAUCCCUUCACUGGUAGCCUGGUAACAUA